UUGGGAAUAUUGCACAAUGGGGGAAACCCUGAUGCAGCGACGCCGCGUGAGCGAUGAAGGCUUUCGAGUCGUAAAGCUCUGUCCUAUGGGAAGAUAAUGACGGUACCAUAGAAGAAAGCCCCGGCUAAUUACGUGCCAGCAGCCGCGGUAAUACGUAAGGGGCGAGCGUUGUCCGGAAUUAUUGGGCGUAAAGAGUGCGUAGGCGGCAAAUUAAGUCAGAUGUGAAAACUAAGGGCUCAACCCAUAGAUUGCAUCUGAAACUGAUAUGCUUGAGUCAAGGAGAGGAAAGUGGAAUUCCUAGUGUAGCGGUGGAAUGCGUAGAUAUUAGGAGGAAUACCGGUGGCGAAGGCGACUUUCUGGACUUGAACUGACGCUGAGGCACGAAAGCGUGGGGAGCAAACAGG
rnacentral:rRNA from 1 species